ACACUUGUCAGGUAACCACUGUGAUCAUGGGGUGGGGGCUGUCACUCAGAGGAGACUCAUCCAUUACAUGGCAGACAUGCUGACCCCUGUGUUUUCCCCAAAUGUGGUAAACUUGAGUACGUCAUUCAUGGUAGUGAGGGACUGAAUUUACAUUAUCUUCUUA
rnacentral:snRNA from 1 species